rnacentral:misc_RNA from 1 species
AGCAAAAGAGGUUGAAAAAUCAUAGUCAAAUUGUUCAUCCACCACUAUGAAAAUUCCUUUCUUUUGUCUAGUGAUAGCAACAAUUACCAUCUCUUCAGAGAUUUUGAGGAAAUCAGGAGUAAUGUAUAGCACUGUGUACUGAAAACUGGACCCUUGGCUCUCUCCUAUUGUAAGAGUUGUGAGUGAGAUUGAAUUCAAGUAUCGUUUGUCAGCUUGUGAAGCCACCAAAGCAACUAUUUUCUUUUUCUCCAUUUCCUCCUGAUAUCUAUCCAAUUUGAGAGCUUCCAAAUUUCUCAAAUACCCCACAGUGCAGAUGCCUUGAGCAUAGUAAGGUAAUUGAAUAAUUGGUAGAUUGAAAGCACCGAAUCUAUAGCUCCCAAAUAAGUAACCGAUUUCUGAUUGCCGGAAGAAACUUAACAAGUAACUCAACUCAGCUUGAGUACCAUUUAACUUGGUUGAAUCCUCAGAGAAGAAAUUAGGUUGCAGUAUGUCGCCUGUAAAAACUAUUGGUACCCUAAUGCCUCUGCUAAGGACUCUUUUGAUGUCCUCCUCACUAAUUCUCUUUUUGUUUUUGAUGACCUCCUGAUCUUUUUCAACUUCCUCACUUAGCCACUUCAAAG